UAUUCACAACAACUGUGUUCUUUUUUCUCAGGCGCCACAUCAGCCCCCAGUCUCAUCUUCAUCCUUCCUAGCAUUUUCUACAUCCGAAUUAUUCCCAAUGAAAAAGAACCACUACGAUCAAGACCCAAAAUCCAGGCUGCGUGUUUUGCUGCCCUUGGUUUCAUUUUCAUGGUGAUGAGCCUCACUUUUAUCAUCGUUGACUGGGUAACCACAGGGAAGAGCUCUGGAGUGAAUCACUAGCGAAGCCCACUCCUCACCCCAAGAGACCAGGUGGUUCUAACCAGGGAGACCAUUCAGUGCCAGAGAAACAGUGGUGCCUUUUGCUGUUUAUCCUCACUCAUCCUGGAGACACCAUAAUUACCUGUCCCAACACUUUGGAGAAGUGUUGGAAGCCAUCCCCUUUGGUGCUAUGGCAAUGCAAAGUAAUUUGGAACAUCUCCGGGGCUUCACUACAGCCCUUCUAAGAUCUAGGCCUCUAAAUCAGAGCCUCUGAAUUUAAGCUCCCUUCAUUUGCUGGCUCCUAUGGUAGCAGCAUUAUUUUCCUGGCCUUCGUUUUGUUUUGUUUUUUCUCCCUGCCGAUAUUGUGCCAUCACCAACAAUUGCAUGUCUCGGCAAAACCACGUGGGGUUUGGUUUGGGUUUUCUUUGCCCAGGAUUAUCGUGCUGCCUCUCAACAAGGCUUAGUUUGCCUUUUUCCUCUCCCCCCCCCCCUUCUUCUCUUCCUCCUUCGCCUCCACUGUUACAGAAAGAAUCUCAGGCUGGUUUGUCAUCAUUUGUCACUAUACCAAAUGGUGCCUUGACGUCUCAACAAUUGUGACGCCUUUGUUAUCCAACAUGGAAGAGGGUGGGGGCUGGUUGCUAUGGAGGCAUAGUGUCUGAUAUCACUCAGUCUCCUGCCUGAUAUCACUUAAGGCCACAGCAAUGAUAACAACUGACAGCGAAGGAAACGCCAUGCCUGGAGGGGUGUUGAUCAAAGCAACGGACAAUCUAAUUUAUUUGCUCUUAUUUAAUUUCGACCAGGCUACCAGACCAAAGAAUAUAAAUAACAUAGUCAUCCUAAUGCCUAUUUAAUCCAUGCCACGAUUCCAGGUUUUUCUGACAUAGAUGAGGUCUGGGAAUCGAGGGAGGAAGGAGAACUAGGGACCCUGGAAUCCUGGAAAUUUUCUUCCACCUAAGGAGGCAGAGCAGAAUGGAUCAUUUCGGUGCAGCGGGAGACUCAAAGACUCCCUGCUAGCGGGAGGGGAAUGCAACUCCCUCAAAUUGUGGGAUAAUGUUGUUUGCUGUCUCUCGUCUCUGAAUGAUGCUAGGUUUUUCUCUGAGGCUAUCCAGAAAAGUGAAUUCUACAUACACUACAACACCAUCUGGUGAUUUCCCAUUGGUGCAUCUCCCUGGGCCCCAGGGAUUAAAUUUCUUAGUGCUGCAUAUGAGUUUAGGAUUCCAUUUCUGAAGUAUCUGAAUGUGAAUUCUGCUCUUAUGGCUGAAUCCGCUCUUAUUGGCUUGGUUAACUUCAAAUGGUGCUGAUAAUGCAAAAUGAUAAGAGCCUUGAUUGAAAAUUGUUGAAAAGACACUAAGGAAAAAAAAAUGCUAACAGAGAGGCUGUACAGGUGGUCCACAACGUACAACCACAAUUGAGCCCAAAAUUUAUGUUGCUAAGCGAGAAAUUUGCUAAGUGAGUUUUGCCCCAUUUUUAUGACACUUCUUAACAUAUUUGUUAAGUUGUUAAAUUAG